UACGGAGGGUCCGAGCGUUAUCCGGAUUUAUUGGGUUUAAAGGGUGCGUAGGCGGUUUGAUAAGUUAGAGGUGAAAUGUCGGGGCCCAACCCCGAAACUGCCUCUAAUACUGUUGGACUAGAGAAUAGUUGCGGUAGGCGGAAUGUAUGGUGUAGCGGUGAAAUGCUUAGAGAUCAUACAGAACACCGAUUGCGAAGGCAGCUUACCAAACUAUAUCUGACGUUGAGGCACGAAAGCGUGGGUAGCAAACAGG
rnacentral:rRNA from 1 species